AAUCUCUCCCGUUCGAUGAUUUGCUGCUUCAAUAUUAUGUUGUAUCGAGUUUCUCAAUAAAGAUCGGAGUUUGAUCGGAAGACCGAAGGAAAUGGUGUAUCCCAAUCGAGCGCAUUUGGUACUUCGUGACGUGGAGAACAAACAGAAUCCUUUCAGUGAGAAGCUUGUGUUGCUUAUGGGAUCACCAGUGCUCCCUUUGGAUUGAGGCUGCCAUGAAGCUGCAUGUAGGGACGUAAUUAUUGUAGAUGUGCAUAGGUGGGAAGGGCUCCCGUGGAGAUUACUGGUAAUAGAGCAGCCAUUGACUUUGCCUACCGAUCCUGACAACGCGAUCUUACUUUCGGAGGAUUAGCCUCCUUAGCACAGCAUUUUCAGUACUGAUUCUUGGAACUACAAAAUUAGACAAAAAGUAUCAAGCAAAAUGGUGGGUAUUUUGGUAUGCUUGGGUAUGAAACUUUUAACAUCUAGGAAAUUGACGAUUACAAUUAAGUCACAGUGUGAUUGUAGUGAGACGACUGGAAGUAUGGUGGUUUAGCAUUACUUCUAUCAUAUAUAGUUAGUACAACAUGUAUGUUGAACUUUAUGUGUAUCGAUCUUCUUUAUAGUAAAUUGUAAUGACUAUGUACUCUUUUGUAGCAGCAUUUCUAAUCUUCAUGUGUACCUGGGGCUUGCUUAAUUAUCUUAAUCAAAACAGAGUUUUUUUAAUCUAUUCCAACACUCAGAUUAGAAGUCUCAAGAAGCUGAUUCCUUGUGACAUAUAAUGUGCAGAAGUGAAAGAUGAAAACCUGUUGGACUACUACUUGCAAAAUAGCAUUUUGACAAAGUUGAUGAAGCGUUGUUCACAUUGCUGGAUGGUACGUGCACAUCACAACAAGAGUAGCAUGAAAACAUGUUGGACUACCUGCAAAGCACCAUUUUAGCACACUCGAUAAUGUCAUGGUUUAAAAUAUCAGUUGUACUGACAUGUUCCUGUUGGUAGUUACCAGUCCGAUCGAGCAUAGGGAAGAAAAGGAAACAAGGAUAAGUAUCUUCUUGGCAAUGAGGAGUGGGAAAAAGUUUCAUGGCUUGCUGUCAGGACUGCCCUUACAACUGGAACUCUUGUGGAUGCUGAACCGACGAAUCAAACCACUUCAUUACACCUCCCCUUUUCUGUCUCACCCAACAUGGGUGACUCCUGCAUCUAAAACCAUUCAUGCUUGCUAACAAAGCCAACAUCACUUCUUACAUGCUCAUGACCAUCCCUCUCAUUUUCUUCCCCUCCUAGUCCAUGCUGUAUUCCUCUCUCUCCUCUUUCAUUCAUGAAGCGCUUCAUUAGAGACCAAUCGAUGGAUAGGUUCAUCAUCCUCCCGUUCUAUUGUUCCUUUUGGUUUGUAUUGUGAAACCCUGUAAGCCUAAUCAUCGCCCUGUAUU